rnacentral:rRNA from 1 species
UACGUAGGGUGCAAGCGUUAAUCGGAAUUACUGGGCGUAAAGCGUGCGCAGGCGGUUGUGCAAGACAGAUGUGAAAUCCCCGGGCUCAACCUGGGAAUUGCAUUUGUGACUGCACGGCUAGAGUGUGUCAGGGGGGGGUAGAAUUCCACGUGUAGCAGUGAAAUGCGUAGAUAUGUGGAGGAAUACCGAUGGCGAAGGCAGCCCCCUGGGAUAACACUGACGCUCAUGCACGAAAGCGUGGGGAGCAAACAGG